rnacentral:lncRNA from 1 species
GAUGUAUGUACAAACAUACAUUUGAAUGUACAAAUGUAAUUUUUUUUUUUUUUUUUUUUUUUUUUAAACUUUGUUAAUGUAUUAUUUUAUGAUCCAAAGAUAAGUGACUUUUAAUUUGAUAUGUAAAAAAAAAAAAAAAAAAAAAAAAAAAAAAAAAAUUGAUGAUUACAUCAAACCGUGAGUCCACAGAUAAUAUUAUACAUACACAUACAUACAUACAUACAUACAUACAUACAUACAUACAUACAUAAGUAGAUACGUAUUACGUACGUAUCAAAAUAAUGCUGUGCUCGUAAUGGAAUUAGUAAUAAAAAAACCAUACAUUGAGAUUUUUGAAAAGGUAUUAAAGCUAUUUACCGUUACUUGUGACAGCAUCCAUUUACACUUAACACGACAUAAACUUGAACUAAGUGGAACCAAUAGCUUAACACAUAAGUUGAUUAUACAAUUAGAUAAAAAUUUUUUUAAAUAUAAUCAUAUAAUAAGUUCAUCUGUAGAUAAUAUAAGUGGUACUGUAAAUUCAAAAGAUAUAUACAACAGUUUGUUUAGUUACAAUGUUGUUAAGCUUUUAAGGAAUAGUUGUCAUGGGAAUAUGUAUAGUGGUAGAAGUGGUGGUGGUAAUAGGGGAAGUCCAGUUGGAAUAAUAAGUAAAGCAAAUAAUUAUAAUACUAUGUGCAAACAUGGGAAUAGAGCAAAUAGUUCCAAACGUAGAGAUAGCAGUAGCAAUAGCAGUAGCGAUAACAGCAGUAGUCAGAGUGGCAAGCGCGACAUAUCGUUGUCCAAAAUUAUAUUAAAUUUUAAUAACACAAAUAACACUUUGGAAGUAAAUAUAAAAUUCAAAAACAAUUUUACUUAUUGUAGUGCAAAAUUAAAACUAAAACAAUUUACAAAUGAUGUACCUAAGUAUGUGUAUACAAAUGAAUCUAUCAUGCAAAUCGACCCAACUCUUUUUUUGAUUAAUUUAAAAGAUUUAGCAAAUGAAAAAAAUAUUUUUUUAAAAAACACUGACAAAUCAAUAAUUAUAAGUUCAUAUGAAACAUGUGAUUUUAGUCUGAAUAAAGAAAAAAUAAAAAAAGAACAAUUUUUUUAUAAUAAUAAAACAA